CACGUAGGCACCAAGCGUUGUCCGGAUUUAUUGGGCGUAAAGAGCUCGUAGGCGGUGUGUCACGUCGGCCGUGAAAACCUGCAGCUUAACUGUGGGCGUGCGGUCGAUACGGGCAUCACUGGAGUUCGGCAGGGGAGACUGGAAUUCCUGGUGUAGCGGUGAAAUGCGCAGAUAUCAGGAGGAACACCGGUGGCGAAGGCGGGUCUCUGGGCCGAUACUGACGCUGAGGAGCGAAAGCGUGGGGAGCAAACAGG
rnacentral:rRNA from 1 species